rnacentral:rRNA from 1 species
CAGUAACGUAUAUUAAAGUUGUUGCGGUAAAAAAGCUCGUAGUUGGAUUUCUGUUGAGGACGACCGGUCUACACCACGUGUACGCAUCUGGCUCGGCCUCGGCAUCCUCUCGGAAAGCGUUCCUGCGCUUGAUUGCGUGGGGCGUGUUUCGGGACUUUUACUUUGAGGAAAUUAGAGUGUUCACGGCAGGCUAUCGCCAGAAUAUAUUAGCAUGGAAUAAUACUAUAGGAUUUUGAUUCUAUUUUGUUGGUUUCUAGGAUCGAAAUAAUGAUUAAUAGGGACAAUUGGGGGGAUUCGUAUCAACACGUCAGAGGUGGAAUUCUUGGAUUGUGUUGCGACGAACUACUGCGAAAGCAUUUCUCAAGGAUU